rnacentral:rRNA from 1 species
AGUUUGAUCCUGGCUCAGAUUGAACGCUGGCGGCAUGCCUUACACAUGCAAGUCGAACGGCAGCACGGGGGCAACCCUGGUGGCGAGUGGCGAACGGGUGAGUAAUAUAUCGGAACGUACCCUAGAGUGGGGGAUAACGUAGCGAAAGUUACGCUAAUACCGCAUACGAUCUACGGAUGAAAGCAGGGGACCGCAAGGCCUUGCGCUCAUGGAGCGGCCGAUAUCUGAUUAGCUAGUUGGUAGGGUAAAAGCCUACCAAGGCAUCGAUCAGUAGCUGGUCUGAGAGGACGACCAGCCACACUGGGACUGAGACACGGCCCAGACUCCUACGGGAGGCAGCAGUGGGGAAUUUUGGACAAUGGGGGCAACCCUGAUCCAGCAAUGCCGCGUGAGUGAAGAAGGCCUUCGGGUUGUAAAGCUCUUUUGUCAGGGAAGAAACGGUGAGUUCUAAUAUAGCUUACUAAUGACGGUACCUGAAGAAUAAGCACCGGCUAACUACGUGCCAGCAGCCGCGGUAAUACGUAGGGUGCAAGCGUUAAUCGGAAUUACUGGGCGUAAAGCGUGCGCAGGCGGUUAUGUAAGACAGAUGUGAAAUGCCCGGGCUCAACCUGGGAACUGCAUUUGUGACUGCAUGGCUAGAGUGUGUCAGAGGGGGGUAGAAUUCCACGUGUAGCAGUGAAAUGCGUAGAUAUGUGGAGGAAUACCGAUGGCGAAGGCAGCCCCCUGGGAUGCCACUGACGCUCAUGCACGAAAGCGUGGGGAGCAAACAGGAUUAGAUACCCUGGUAGUCCACGCCCUAAACGAUGUCUACUAGUUGUUGGGUCUUAAUUGACUUAGUAACGCAGCUAACGCGUGAAGUAGACCGCCUGGGGAGUACGGUCGCAAGAUUAAAACUCAAAGGAAUUGACGGGGACCCGCACAAGCGGUGGAUGAUGUGGAUUAAUUCGAUGCAACGCGAAAAACCUUACCUACCCUUGACAUGUACGGAAGAUUUCAGAGAUGAGAUUGUGCUCGCAAGAGAACCGUAACACAGGUGCUGCAUGGCUGUCGUCAGCUCGUG